ACAUUCUAACGUACCCUGGAGAUCCCUGAGCAUCCUCUUGGUGUCACCACUGUUGAGGCAACGCCAACUGCCAUUUAGGGCAUUUGUACAGUGCCUCUGGGAUUCACAAAGAUAUUUGGUGAGACUGAGAGAGGUACUUGGGAGAGAAUGGACAGUCUAGAGAAGAGAGAGAAGCAGAAGGAAGCUAGUCAUCUGUCUCAGGGAACUACUGGAAAGGCAUCAUCUCAACUCUCCCCUCACUUAGCAGGAUCUGAGGAUGAACAAGGUGGAAAAACUGACCAUUCAGCUAUAGAUGAGGACCUGUUAGAGGAAUGAACUACCUGGAAUCCUGGACCAUGAUACAAACAAUGAUUUGAAAAGCAGACAAAGGCUGAAUGGCAGUAACGCUCUUUAAGUUCACAAAGCAUUUGGACUACCUACUUCCUAACAAUCUCCUGUAAGUCCUGUUUGAAACGGUGUGGCCUCCUCUUGGAUGCUGAUUCUGAUUUUAGUCAAGGAUGAAUCAAAGACAUUGCUUACAGUCUAUCAUCAAGGGAAACUAAGGCAAGAUCUCAAGACAGGGGCUUAAAACCAGAGGAGCGCUGCUCACUAGUCACCUCAGCUACCGUUUCUCUGUGGCCCAGGCUCACUUGCCUAAGGAUGGCACUACCUACAGAGGGCUGAGCCCUCAUCCAUCAAUUAGCAAUCAAAAAAAUGCCAAAGAAGCAUGCCUGCAAGCCAGUCUUUUGGUGUCAAUUCCUCAACUAUGUCUCAAGUAAACAGCCAAGAACGGCCAUAACAGCAAGCCAGAAAGGAGAAAAUAUAAACUUCAGCUUACUGCAAAGAAAAUUGACCCUCUAUGAAUAGGAUUCUAUGUCCAAAGUGAAAAUUCAAUGGUAGGAAGAGUAAUUUAAUACAAUUUAUGGAGGAAAAACAAAGCAAUACUUAAAAUAAUGAGUGACAAUAAGCCCUAGCCACAAAGGAAAAGUUGGUAUCUUUGACUAUUGAAACCCCUUCUGGAGGCUGCAGGUGGACAUGGGGAGGGGUUGUUGGCUGACAGCACCUUUGACCAUCCUUCCAGUGUUUUGGUGGAGGAGUUCCCAUCAGAAGACCUACUUCUUACUACAGAGACCAGGACCCAAAUACAAACCUGAGUCAGCAACUGCUUGCCAGAGCUUAGGUUCUAGAGAAAUGAAGGAGUCCAUUCUGCUUGAUGAUUUGGGGAAGCGGCAUCCCAUUUUAGGAGCCCUGGAUGUUGCGGUCUUCUAAAGCAGCACCAGGCACAUUGUAGAAAGCCAGUAUUCUUGGUGGCACACACUGCAGUGCCCAUGCUCAUCUUGGUAGUGUCAGUGGUGAGCUCUGGAAUAUGACUUGGUUCUCGAGUAUGAUUUAUUACCUGUUACUUCUGUCUUCAAAUCCUGCCUCUUUGACCCUCAGUAAACUUCAAAUCCUAAUAAACCACUUUGCUUUGAAAACAA